rnacentral:rRNA from 1 species
GCUNGCGAAUGRGGRGMMACCCGKRUGUCUUGUUCGCWCAURAAGAUCUUAARUACAAAAGCUGAAAUAUUCCCAUAAGACGAGAAGACCCUGUGGAGCUUAAGCUAAAACACUACUAUUAUAUAGUGCCUCCCUUUAGUUGGGGCGACUACGGAACAAAACACAACUUCCCUGCCACACAAUUAACCCCGCAACGACACACAUGUCACUGCACCCCUACCACGACCCAGUACUACUGACUAACGAACCAAGUUACCCCAGGGAUAACAGCGCCAUCCUCUUCUAGAGCCCCUAUCGCCAAGAGGGUUUACGACCUCGAUGUUGGAUCAGGACCUCCUGGUGGUGCAGCCGCUACCAAGGGUUCGUUUGUUCAACGAUUAAUGUC